rnacentral:rRNA from 1 species
AUUGAACGCUGGCGGCAGGCCUAACACAUGCAAGUCGAGCGGAUGAAGGGAGCUUGCUCCUGGAUUCAGCGGCGGACGGGUGAGUAAUGCCUAGGAAUCUGCCUGGUAGUGGGGGAUAACGUCCGGAAACGGGCGCUAAUACCGCAUACGUCCUGAGGGAGAAAGUGGGGGAUCUUCGGACCUCACGCUAUCAGAUGAGCCUAGGUCGGAUUAGCUAGUUGGUGGGGUAAAGGCCUACCAAGGCGACGAUCCGUAACUGGUCUGAGAGGAUGAUCAGUCACACUGGAACUGAGACACGGUCCAGACUCCUACGGGAGGCAGCAGUGGGGAAUAUUGGACAAUGGGCGAAAGCCUGAUCCAGCCAUGCCGCGUGUGUGAAGAAGGUCUUCGGAUUGUAAAGCACUUUAAGUUGGGAGGAAGGGCAGUAAGCUAAUACCUGGCUGUUUUGACGUUACCAACAGAAUAAGCACCGGCUAACUUCGUG